rnacentral:misc_RNA from 1 species
AAGUCGUAACAAGGUUUCCGUAGGUGAACCUGCGGAAGGAUCAUUACCAAUAUAGCGAACCGAGCGUUAGCGAGGCUUCGCGAUCAAUUUGUAUUUAAAACCCAACUCUUUAAAUGUAUAUAUUAUUAUUGUAAAUAAUAAAAGAUCACUUUCAACAACGGAUCUCUUGGCUUUC